CCUACGGGAGGCAGCAGUAGGGAAUCUUUCACAAUGGGCGAAAGCCUGAUGGAGCAACGCCGCGUGCAGGAUGAAGGCCUUCGGGUUGUAAACUUCUUUUAUAAGCGAGAAAUAUGAUGGUAACUUAUGAAUAAGGAUCGGCUAACUACGUGCCAGCAGCCGCGGUCAUACGUAGGAUCCGAGCAUUAUCCGGAGUGACUGGGUGUAAAGAGUUGCGUAGGUGGCAUAAUAAGUAGCUAGUGAAAUCUGGUGGCUCAACCAUUCAGACUAUUAGCGAAACUGUUAAGCUCGAGACCGUUAGGGGUAACUGGAAUUUCUAGUGUAGGAGUGAAAUCCGUAGAUAUUAGAAGGAACACCAAUAGCGUAGGCAGGUUGCUGGGACGGUUCUGACACUAAGGCACGAAAGCGUAGGGAGCAAACGGGAUUAGAUACCCCUGUAGUC
rnacentral:rRNA from 1 species